UGCUUUCACGUCACAUGCAAAAUUACACAGGAAUGUGGCUGACUUUUUAUUUGUAGUUUACAUGAGUGUCAUUGCACUUUUCAGGAGUUAAGGCAGAUGUGGAGGCACAACGGGUGAUACCAGACACACACCAAGCACAUUAUGUUCGGACAUUCAAUCAUGACAGGAUCCAGGUGGAUGCUGUCCAUUGAUGAAAGAGUUUGUUCAGCGGUUUCUGGAUAGAAUUAAUUCCAAAGAUGGGAAAAAGUGCACAUCCAGACAAGGAGCAAGCAAAAAGACAAGGAACUUGGUGCAGAGAAAAGCUGUGGCCAUUAACCCCCAUGUGAACAGCUUCAUGCAGUCCCUGAUUGAGUUCGAAUGGACGACUUCAAAGUAAAGGCCACUGUGGUCUGUCUGCCACAGUUUAAUGCAUUUAUUUUUAGUGUUAAAUGAAAUUUAAGUAGAAUAUUUAAAACUAUGGGCCAGUGUUCUUUUUACCACAGUGAAAUGUUACCUUUUAGUCGAUGAUGGACUUUAAACUGAAAACUUCAAACUAUGGACCAGUGUUCUAUUUGCCAGAGUUAAAUAUGUUACAGCAGGGGUCUCCAAACUUGUUUAUACUUGUUGAUUUUAUUUUAUGUUACUUGAUUAUAUGUUUAUUAUUGUUUAAAAUCUUGUUUUAAAUAUGUUUGUUUCAAUUAAA